GAGUAACACGUGGGUAACCUGCCCAGAAGAAGGGGAUAACACCUGGAAACAGAUGCUAAUACCGUAUAACAACAAGAACCACAUGGUUCUUGUUUGAAAGCUGGCCUUUGUGCUAGUGCUUCUGGAUGGACCCGCGGCGUAUUAGCUAGUUGGUGAGAUAAUAGCUCACCAAGGCAAUGAUACGUAGCAGACCUGAGAGGGUAAUCUGCCACAAUGGGACUGAGACACGGCCCAUACUCCUACGGGAGGCAGCAGUAGGGAAUCUUCCACAAUGGACGAAAGUCUGAUGGAGCAACGCCGCGUGAGUGAAGAAGGGUUUCGGCUCGUAAAACUCUGUUGUUAGAGAAGAACAGCCGUGAGAGCAACUGCUCACGGUAUGACGGUAUCUAACCAGAAAGUCACGGCUAACUACGUGCCAGCAGCCGCGGUAAUACGUAGGUGGCAAACGUUGUCCGGAUUUAUUGGGCGUAAAGGGAGCGCAGGCGGUUUAUUAAGUCUGAUGUGAAAGCCUUCGGCUUAACCGGAGAAGUGCAUCGGAAACUGAUAAACUUGAGUGCAGAAAAGGAUAGUGGAACUUCAUGUGUAGCGGUGAAAUGCGUAGAUAUAUGAAGGAACACCAGUGGCGAAGGCGGCUAUCUGGUCUGUAACUGACGCUGAGGCUCGAAAGCAUGGGUAGCAAACAGGAUUAGAUACCCUGGUAGUCCAUGCCGUAAACGAUGAAUGCUAGGUGUUGGAAGGUUUCCGCCUUUCAGUGCCGCAGCUAACGCA
rnacentral:rRNA from 2 species